UACGAAGGGGGUUAGCGUUGUUCGGAAUUACUGGGCGUAAAGGGCGCGUAGGCGGUGUGUCAAGUCAGGCGUGAAAGCCCCGGGCUCAACCUGGGAACCGCGCUUGAGACUGGCACGCUAGAGUUCGGGAGAGGAUGGUGGAAUUCCCAGUGUAGAGGUGAAAUUCGUAGAUAUUGGGAAGAACACCGAUGGCGAAGGCAGCCAUCUGGACCGACACUGACGCUGAGGCGCGAAAGCGUGGGGAGCAAACAGG
rnacentral:rRNA from 1 species